ensembl:lncRNA
CUCCUUGAGGGAGAGCAUCUCAUGUUGGGCACAGCAGGAGAAGUGUUAACAGGAUGCAGGUGUUGCUGCUCUUCCCAGGACUGGUUUGGUCUCAGCAGUGGGUACAGUCCUUGGCUGCUGUCUGUCUGCCCCUAGCUAUGGCUGCAGAGCUGCUUUUGGCAGUCAGGAGCAGCAGGACACAACCCUAUAGUGACCCCAUGAGAGUGGUCCUCAGAGGCAGGACCAGGCCCUCAUCUCCCUGUAAGGAGAAGAAAUAACAUGGGUUUGAAACCUCUGAACUGCAAACAGCUUGGAAACCUGACAAAAUGCAUUGCUGCCACCUCUACUCCCUGACAUAAUUUUGUUCUGUUAUACCUGACUGCAUAGCUGUAAAUACUCAAUACAGCAGGGGUUAAUGCUGUGAGUAUGCUGCCAGUUCUGGAUGGACAGAAAGAAGAGCCACAAUAACUGAAUAUAAUGCAAUGUAGAGAUGCAAUUUAACAUAGACAAACUGCAGCUGAUUGACUUAUUACACUCUUAGAAGAAAAUUCUCCAACCACUCUCAAUCUGAGUAACAAAGUGGAUGAAAGCUCCAGCUUUUGCACUGAAUUCCCUGUUUCUGGGCUCCUUGCUGCUGGGGGCUCCCAUUUACCUGAGGACGAGACUGCUGGCUCUGUGUGUGCUCAUAUGAACUUGGGGAAAACCUCUGGUGUGGAUAUGAAGGAUUGAAAAUGAGCAAUAAAUAAUAGCAAAAUAGUGGGCUCUAAUACAUUCUGCUAAGAUACUGGACUGUUUUCAGUUCUGUGCAGCUGACAGUUUUCUGUUUUCAAUAACUUAAAGUGGAGCCAUAGAAUUUCAAUCACCUUCCAUCUUAUGGAGAGCUGAAUUCCUUCAGAAUAACUCAGAGGAAUUGACUGAACCGUAUUUUUCAUGUUUCCCAAAUGAGCAGCGCUGUGCCAUGGAAAUUAGGAUGGAACGGGAAACAGACGGCUGUGCUACCUCCAUCCUGCUGAGGAGAUGAAGGUCAAAGACACCUUCAUUCUUCUCAGCACUUUUCCCAAAGGGAUUGUAAACAAGAUCACAGCCUAGUGCGAUUAAUUGUGAAUAAAACCAAUUCCUAUUGCCUCCUAACCAGACUGAGAGCAACUUCUUUUGGUUACAGUAGACACUGUAUUUGAUAGUGUCCUCUUCCCACCGUAUCUUGGCCUUGAACUGGUUUAUAUCAGAUAAGAUAUAGAAAAAUUAAGAGAACUUCUUGCAUGUUUGACCCUUGUUGUGUUAUUUUCAUGCUUCUGUCCCCUUAUUGCAAUUCUGCAACAUAAAAAAAAAGAAAAAAAAGCCCAACGUUUAUUAGGUAGCCA